rfam:Ictidomys tridecemlineatus contig001534, whole genome shotgun sequence.
GGGGCUGUAGCUCAGUGGUAGAGCACUUGCCUCACAUAUGUGAAGCACUGGGUUCGAUCCUCAGCACCACCU